GUCAAUAUAUCGGGGCACGUGUUGACAGAGUGGGUUGGAACCAUAAUAGCGUUUUACAAUAAGACUGCUGUAACGCAUGCAACAGGAUGAAAAGAAGGCAAUACAUCAAGGCCAAAUCCAUUCCAGUGAAAGGAUAUCAACAAAGAAACUGACUUUUCAACGACCUUUUAAAUAAGCUUUCUAAACACACUCUGCUAACUGGAAUCUAUUAUACUGUUGCACAGAUAUAGAAAAAUCAAUCCAGAGGAAAACAGCACUAAUUUCUGUA